rnacentral:piRNA from 1 species
AGAAGGACUGCGCUGCAAAACCC